CGGGUGAGUCGGCCUCGCCAGUGCGCAUGCGCGAGGCCGGAGCCGCCGCUUUGGUCACAGUGACCGCCACCAUUGCCCGGGGAUGGGUCCCUGAGACUUGGCGAAGUAGGAGCCCUGUGUGAUCGUGCGUCAGAGUCGGGGCUGAGACCAGCCCUGGCCAGGGCAGUUACCAGGACGGUCUCCGGAGGCCGAGAUUCGCGGAGGGUCCACCAGUAGGAAGAAACCCCAGGAGGAAGAAACCUCAGACAGAUCGCCGGGGAGGCAGCGCGGGAUCCCAGCCUCAGGCGUGCGCGGACGGUGUGCGGGUGAAUCUCCCCAAAAGUGGCGCCCUUGUGAUGUCGAGGACAGGUCUCCCUGUGUGCCCGUGGGCUGCUGUCUCACCGGUGGCUCGUCGUCGCGGAGAGCAGAACCCGGCAGCUUCAGGGGCUGCCUGGGGGUGGGUGUUACCUGCUGUAUGUCUGUGUGCGUUAUGGGUGUGUGUGUGUGUGUCUGUGUGUCUGUGUGUGUGCGCGCGCACGCGCGUCUGUGUGCCCACUACUGUCUCUUACGUCUCUGUCU
rnacentral:lncRNA from 1 species